CUGUGUGAAUUCGUGUGAAUCGCAGACUGCUUUGAACAUCGACAUCUUGAACGCACAUUGCGGCUACAGGCUUGCUGUGGCCACGUCUGACCGAGGGUCGGCU
rnacentral:rRNA from 1 species